rnacentral:rRNA from 1 species
ACCUCCUACGGGAGGCAGCAGUGGGGAAUAUUGCACAAUGGGCGCAAGCCUGAUGCAGCCAUGCCGCGUGUAUGAAGAAGGCCUUCGGGUUGUAAAGUACUUUCAGCAGUGAGGAAGGCGGGUACGUUAAUAGCGUGCUCGUUUGACGUUAGCUGCAGAAGAAGCACCGGCUAACUCCGUGCCAGCAGCCGCGGUAAUACGGAGGGUGCGAGCGUUAAUCGGAAUUACUGGGCGUAAAGCGCAUGCAGGUGGUUUGUUAAGUCAGAUGUGAAAGCCCGGGGCUCAACCUCGGAAUUGCAUUUGAAACUGGCAGACUAGAGUACUGUAGAGGGGGGUAGAAUUUCAGGUGUAGCGGUGAAAUGCGUAGAGAUCUGAAGGAAUACCGGUGGCGAAGGCGGCCCCCUGGAUAGAUACUGACACUCAGAUGCGAAAGCGUGGGGAGCAAACAGGAUUAGAUACCCUGGUAGGAUAGCG